GCAUGUAUUCUGUACAGCCAUAUGAACUCUUCUCAAUAAUAUAAUCUUUGAACUGGAUGUUUUUGAUAUUUCAAAUCUUACAAUAAAGUAUGAAAAAAAGAAAACAUAUACAUUAGAGAAAAUAAAAAGUGGUUCUGAAAUCAUUAGACCACUGAACUGCAUCCCUAUCAAGGUCAUUAAAAUAGAGUUGUUUAUUUGCACACUAGUUAAUGAUCUAUCAACCUACUUCAUGGCUCGGUUUUGAGCACAUUUCUCUUACAAUCGGAUCCAAUGCAUACUUACUCAGAAGUAAGUCCCACUGAGUUCAAUGAGAUGUUACUCCAAAGGAAAGUGCUCCAGGCUCCCUGAUCCUUUUAGCUGCCCUGUUCUGCAUCUUUUCCAGCGCUACAAUAUCCUUUUAGAGAUGUGACCAGAACUAGACACAGGGUUCCAAAUAUGGACACACCAUAUUAAAAGGCCUGAUGAUAUUGGCA